CCCUUAGAUGUUCGGGGCCGCACGCGCGCUACACUGAAGGAAUCAGCGUGCUCUUGUCCUGGUCUGGAAAGACUGGGUAACCCGUUGAACCUCCUUCGUGCUAGGGAUUGGGGCUUGCAAUUAUUCCCCAUGAACGAGGAAUUCCCAGUAAGCGCAAGUCAUCAGCUUGUGUUGAUUACGUCCCUGCCCUUUGUACACACCGCCCGUCGCUACUACCGAUUGGGAAAAUUUUAGAGAGUCCUGGACUGAUGAUUGUUCGGCUUCACGGCCUUACUUUCGUCGGGAAAGAAUUCGAUAAUAUUUUUCUAGAGGAAGUAAAAGUCGUAACA
rnacentral:rRNA from 1 species